GCCUAACCAUAACAUAACAAUUAAAUUACCCAUGGUCGCCAAAUAACUACGAGUAAAANCUUAAAAUUUAANNGNCUUGACGGUAUCUCAAAACAACCUAGAGGAGCCUGUCUAAUAACCGAUACUCCACGAUUAACCCAACCCACCCUAGCCCAACAGUCUAUAUACCGCCGUCGCCAGCCUACCUUGUGAAAGAAACAAAGUGAGCCAAAUAGCCACACACUAAUACGACAGGUCGAGGUGUAACUUAUGGGUGGGUUAAGAUGGGCUACNUUUUCUUAUACAGAAAAUACGGAUAAAUCUAUGAAAUAGAAACUGAAGGCGGAUUUAGCAGUACAGUGGGAACAAAAUACCCAAUAG
rnacentral:rRNA from 1 species